GAUUCUGUCUCCGUCCUUCCCGAUCUGCUGUUGCAGUGAAAAAACAUGAGAUCAGAGCAGUACUGCUCGCAGUAGAAGAGGAAGAAGAGUUGUUGCCGCCUAGUGGUAUUAAUACUGCAUGCAUGGGUUGCUCAGAGUCGAAGGUGGAGGAACAGAGGGCCGUGGUGCUCUGCCACGGCCGGGCUGACAUACUCGCCGCCGCCAUUCGCCACCGAAACGCCGUCGCGAGCGCCCACGCCGCCUACUCCGACUGCCUCCUCUCCGUUUCCGUUGCCCUCCACCGUUUUCUCCUCCUGCUGCCUCCUUCCUCUUCUUCCUCCUCCUCCUCCUCCUCCUCCUCCCCUGUUCUUUCCGUUCCUGCCCGCCGCGAGUCGGAGCCUAGUCCACCACCGCCUGCUCCCGCCGUUUCCUCUGCCCGCCGCUCCAACCCCAGCGCUCCCAUCAAGUUCGAUACUUUGGACUCCGAUGACGAGUACGAGGGCGUCGUCGACGACGGUUACUAUUUCCACCAUCAACACCCCUACGAAGGACCAUUCCGUCACGUUCCUAGCUUUGAAAGCAUCUAUUACGCACGCAGACAGCCGGCGCCUUACUCUGUCGCCUACGAGCAGCGGCCGCCGAGCUAUGAGACCCUCCAAGUUGACUACUUUGAUCCUUACUCCGGUUUCACUUCCCAAGAAAACCACCCUUUUCCCUUCCCCCCUGGUUAUUACGGUUCAAUGGGCGGAUCUUUCAACCCCAACCCGGCUUCCGAGGCAAUGCCGCCGCUGGUUUCGGGAGGUUCUUCCUCCUCUAGAGCGCGGCCUCCUCCUUCACCACCGAGGAUUUCCACUUGGGAUCUUCUGAACCCUUUUUCGACUGACAUAUACGGUCAUGGGUACACUCCUAGCCGAAAUUCCGGCGAGGUGAGGCACGAGGAAGGGAUCCCCGACCUCGAAGAGGUGGACAUGGAGCAGAAGGUGGUCCAGGAAGCCACCUAUAGCAACUUGAGCUCUACAGCUAUCUCCUCUUCGGCCACCAAAAACAGAGCAUACACCUCCAUUCGUGCAUCCUCGGCGCGAGAGGAUGAAUCGAGAAGAUCAUGUCGGCAACAUUCAAAGGCCGGUCGGAGCUCGAAUUCUGAUACAUCGGUGAUCGAUAAGAAUGUGGUGGCCAUGGAACAGAGGAACGCCGCAGCCUCCAAUAAUACACGGAAUGCUUUAAAGGUUGCUAAUGCGAUUAAAGCGCAGUUUCAAAGGGCAUCCAAGAGCUUCAGAAAGCUCUCCGAAAUGUUGGAGAUGUCAAAUCACCAGCUUCACUCAAAACAAUCUCCCCAUGAUGAUGAUAGUGUAAAAGGAUCCAUGGGCCUUGCUUCCAUAUUGCAAAAACUGUAUGUUUGGGAGAAGAAGCUUUACAACGAAGUCAAGGCGAGUUUUAAUCUACGAGUUCAUUACCCUUCAUGGUAGUUUCUCCUAACCAGAUCACAUUUGUACCCGUUUGCAGAGUGAAGAGAGAAUGAGACUGUUGCUUAGCAAGAGCAACAAGGAACUGAGGCACUUAGUUGAAAAGGGUGCUGAGGCUCACAGGAUCGAUACCACUCGAAGUUGGAUCGACAAGCUAUCAAUGGAAAUUGAGAUAGCAAUUCUGGUUGUCACAACGGUUUCGAAGAAGAUUGAUGCAGUUCGGGAUGAAGAACUGUGGCCACAAGUCACUGAACUUGUUCUAGGUUUGGUGAGAAUGUGGAGCCUUUUGCUUGAGUGUCAUCAAGUGCAUUGCCAAGCGAUUGCCGAAGUCAAAGGACUUGAUUUCAUCGUCUCGAGUGGAAAGCUUAGCAGUGCCAAUGCUGAUGAAAUACUGCAGUUGGAAAUGGAGAUGCAUAAGUGGAGUAGCAACUUGUCGGCAUGGAUUAAUGCCCAGAGGAACUUUGCCAAAGCCUUGAAUGGUUGGCUCCUACUUUGUCUUCCUCAUGAGCAUGCUGAAAAUGCUCCCUCUCCAACCAGAAUUGGCGCGCCGCCUGUUUUUGUCAUCUGCAACUACUGGUCACAGGCCAUGGACAGGGCUUCCGAGUGCGAGGUGAUCGACUCCUUGCUGACCUUUGCCGAUUCAUUGCACCAGCUGUGGGAGCGGCUGGCUGUAGAUCAGAAUGAUCGGAUGAUUGCUGUCAGAGAUAGAGAGAAAUUGCUUAGGGUCAUUGAGAAAAAGAGAAGGGCAAUGCACAAGGAAGUGAAAUCUCUAAGGAAGAAACUUGCAUUAGUCCCUGGUCAGAUCACCACACCACCUCAUCGAAAGCCUGAUGAUGGUCAUAAUACUACUGCAGAAGUAGUAGGUAGUCUGGAAUCAGGAUUGAAGAAUGUCUUUGAAGCCAUGGAACACUUCUCAGCUAGUUCAGUGAAAGCUUAUGGCGAGCUGCUUGAGCUUUGUGGAGAGCAGAAGACAGACUCAGCACAAAAUUCCCAUUGGAAUUUGAUAUAGGGAGUGAUUUAUCUUCGCGAAGAUCUUCACUGAAACUGAACUUGAUAGAUGAUUUUUGUGAGAUUUGCAGGCCAAGGUGAAGUGUUAAUGAGAUCUUUGAUGGUGAUCUUGAUACAUGCACAUAGACUGAAAAGAAUUGGUGGAAAGUUAAAAUGGUUAUUCAGACACCAUAAUUGGUUAGUGAUGGAAUACGGUUAUUCAGACACCAUAAUUGGUUAGUGAUGGAAUACAUAUUGGAUUUGUAUGCUGUAAAUGUUCAGUUUGAUUAUUAUCACAGAGAUAAUAAAAUUUCA